rnacentral:lncRNA from 1 species
GCCUUUUUGCUUUUAAUUCUUAUUUGCUGGACUGAAGCUGGGGUCUCAUCUGUUCACGCCAUUGGAUUUCUCCUCGGGUUGCCCCUUUACCUCCUCAGCAUUUAUUACAUGAGUGGUGAGGGGGUAAAUCCUCAGACUUUUAUUUGUAACUGCGUGACUUCAUUUUAGAUGCUUUUACCUUUCUUUCUGGUUAUGAGCUCGGAUAUCUGGUCCCUCUGGAAGUGACCCUUUGUCAGUCGGUGCGGUCUGGGCUGUAUGCUCCACUGGGGUGGGGAGUUCAGCUUUUUUUGUCAUUUUUCUCUCCCAGGGUCAUUUUUGCUAAGUGUUUGUUUACUGUGAGUUAAUCCGAGCUGUGGGCAGGGUCUCUUGCUUUUGUCGUGAGUCCGUCCAUUC